rnacentral:rRNA from 1 species
GGAAAAGAAACUAACAAGGAUUCCCCUAGUAACGGCGAGUGAAGCGGGAUGAGCUCAAAUUUAAAAUCUGGCUGGUUUACUAGUCCGAAUUGUAGUUUAUAGAAGCGUUUUCGGUGGCAGCCUGGGUAUAAAUCCUUUGGAAUAGGGUAUCAUAGAGGGUGAGAAUCCCGUCUUUGACUCAGUGCAUGCUACUAUGUGAUACGUUUUCAAAGAGUCGAGUUGUUUGGGAAUGCAGCUCAAAAUGGGUGGUAAAUUUCAUCUAAAGCUAAAUAUUGGCGAGAGACCGAUAGCGAACAAGUACCGUGAGGGAAAGAUGAAAAGAACUUUGAAAAGAGAGUUAAACAGUGCGUGAAAUUGUUGAAAGGGAAACGUUUGACACCAGUUAUGCGGGUGGAAAAUCAGUCUUUUGCAGUGGGGAGUUGUGGGCGUUCAGACCGCAAGGCUGGCGUUUGCUUCAUCUUUGUUGUAAGUGAUGCACUUUUUCAUUUGCAGGUCAACAUCAGUUUGCUUUGCUGGACAAAACCCCAAGGGAAGGUGGCAGCUUAGGCUGUGUUAUAGCCCUGGGGCGAUACAGUGGAGUGGACUGAGGUUUCGCAGUGUGUGCUCUCGGGCAAGGCUGACUGGGUGCUAUGGGAUCGUUCGGCGUACAAUGCAUGCAUUUUGCGUCGUGUCUUUCUCAUACUCGCUCAACUCGGCUCUUCCACACUUAGGAUGUUGACUUAAUGGUUUUAAACGACCCGUCUUGAAACACGGACCAAGGAGUCUAACAUAUAUGCAAGUGUUUGGGUGGCAAACCCAUGCGCGUAAUGAAAGUGAACGUAGGUGCGAUCCGCAAGGUGCAGCAUCGACCGAUCUUGAUAUUUUUGGAUAGAUUUGAGUAAGAGCAUAUAUGCUGGGACCCGAAAGAUGGUGAACUAUGCCUGAAUAGGGUGAAGCCAGAGGAAACUCUGGUGGAGGCUCGUAGCGAUUCUGACGUGCAAAUCGAUCGUCAAAUUUGGGUAUAGGGGCGAAA